rnacentral:rRNA from 1 species
GAUGAACGCUGGCGGCGUGCCUAAUACAUGCAAGUCGAGCGAACGGACGAGAAGCUUGCUUCUCUGAUGUUAGCGGCGGACGGGUGAGUAACACGUGGAUAACCUACCUAUAAGACUGGGAUAACUUCGGGAAACCGGAGCUAAUACCGGAUAAUAUUUUGAACCGCAUGGUUCAAAAGUGAAAGACGGUCUUGCUGUCACUUAUAGAUGGAUCCGCGCUGCAUUAGCUAGUUGGUAAGGUAACGGCUUACCAAGGCAACGAUGCAUAGCCGACCUGAGAGGGUGAUCGGCCACACUGGAACUGAGACACGGUCCAGACUCCUACGGGAGGCAGCAGUAGGGAAUCUUCCGCAAUGGGCGAAAGCCUGACGGAGCAACGCCGCGUGAGUGAUGAAGGUCUUCGGAUCGUAAAACUCUGUUAUUAGGGAAGAACAUAUGUGUAAGUAACUGUGCACAUCUUGACGGUACCUAAUCAGGAAGCCACGGCUAACUACGUGCCAGCAGCCGCGGUAAUACGUAGGUGGCAAGCGUUAUCCGGAAUUAUUGGGCGUAAAGCGCGCGUAGGCGGUUUUUUAAGUCUGAUGUGAAAGCCCACGGCUCAACCGUGGAGGGUCAUUGGAAACUGGAAAACUUGAGUGCAGAAGAGGAAAGUGGAAUUCCAUGUGUAGCGGUGAAAUGCGCAGAGAUAUGGAGGAACACCAGUGGCGAAGGCGACUUUCUGGUCUGUAACUGACGCUGAUGUGCGAAAGCGUGGGGAUCAAACAGGAUUAGAUACCCUGGUAGUCCACGCCGUAAACGAUGAGUGCUAAGUGUUAGGGGGUUUCCGCCCCUUAGUGCUGCAGCUAACGCAUUAAGCACUCCGCCUGGGGAGUACGACCGCAAGGUUGAAACUCAAAGGAAUUGACGGGGACCCGCACAAGCGGUGGAGCAUGUGGUUUAAUUCGAAGCAACGCGAAGAACCUUACCAAAUCUUGACAUCCUUUGACAACUCUAGAGAUAGAGCUUUCCCCUUCGGGGGACAAAGUGACAGGUGGUGCAUGGUUGUCGUCAGCUCGUGUCGUGAGAUGUUGGGUUAAGUCCCGCAACGAGCGCAACCCUUAAGCUUAGUUGCCAUCAUUAAGUUGGGCACUCUAAGUUGACUGCCGGUGACAAACCGGAGGAAGGUGGGGAUGACGUCAAAUCAUCAUGCCCCUUAUGAUUUGGGCUACACACGUGCUACAAUGGACGAUACAAAGGGCAGCGAAACCGUGAGGUCAAGCAAAUCCCAUAAAGUUGUUCUCAGUUCGGAUUGUAGUCUGCAACUCGACUACAUGAAGCUGGAAUCGCUAGUAAUCGUAGAUCAGCAUGCUACGGUGAAUACGUUCCCGGGUCU